rnacentral:rRNA from 1 species
UCCGAUUGAUCCCGUCGGACCCCACUGCUAUCGAGAUGGGACUAAGGUAUGCUAGUCGAACGACCAGAACUAUGUCUGGAAGUGGCACACUGCUCAGUAACACGUAGCUAACCUACCCUUAGGACGUGGAUACCCCCGAGAAAUUGGGGUUAAUCCGCGAUAGAUGUAAUGUCCUGGAAUGGUAUUACGUCUAAAGGUAUUUCAUACAUGUUUGAAAUAUGCCUAAGGAUGGGGCUGCGGCCGAUCAGGCUGUUGGUGAGGUAAUGGCUCACCAAACCUUUGACCGGUACGGGCCAUGAGAGUGGUAGCCCGGAGAUGGACACUGAGACAAGGGUCCAGGCCCUAAGGGGCGCAGCAACCGCGAAACCUCCACAAUGCACUCACGUGCGAUGGGGCUAUCUCGAGUGCCACCUGAUGAAGGUGGCUUUUUCCUUGGUCUUCAAAGCCUUGGGAAUAAGAGGGGGGCAAGACUGGUGUCAGCCGCCGCGGUAACACCAGCCCCUCGAGUGGUGGGGAUGUUUAUUUGGCCUAAAGCGUCCGUAGCCGGCCAUGUAAGUCUCCCGUUAAAUCCAGCGUCUCAGGCGUUGGACUGCGGGAGAUACUGCAGGGCUAGAGAGUGGGAGAGGUCAGCGGUAUUCUGGGGGUAGGGGCGAAAUCCUUUGAUCCCCGGAGGACCACCAGUGGCGAAGGCUGCUGACUAGAACACGUCUGACGGUCAGGGACGAAAGCUGGGGUAGCGAACCGGAUUAGAUACCCGGGUAGUCCCAGCCGUAAACGAUGCAUGCUAGGUGUUGGGUUGGCCACGCGCCACCCCAGUGCCGCAGGGAAGCCGUUAAGCAUGCCGCCUGGGAAGUACGAUCGCAAGAUUGAAACUUAAAGGAAUUGGCGGGGGAGCACCACCAGGCGUGAAGCCUGCGGUUUAAUUGGAGUCAACGCCGGGAACCUUACCGGGAGCGACAGCAGUGUGAAGGCCAGAUUGAAGAUCUUGCCAGACGAGCUGAGAGGAGCUGCAUGGCCGUCGCCAGUUCGUGCCGUGAGGUGUUCUCUUAAGUGAGAUAGCGAACGAGACCCGUGCCACAUGUUGCCACCAGUAUCUAAAGGAUAGCUGAGCACUCUUGUGGGACCGCAGCCGAUAAGGCUGAGGAAGGUACGGGCAACGGCAGGUCAGUAUGCCCCGAAUCUCCCGGGCCACACGCGGGCUGCAAUGGUACAGACAGAGGGCUGCCACCCCGAGAGGGGGAGCCAAUCCCUAAACUGUACCUCAGUUGGGAUCGAGGGUUGCAACCCACCCUCGUGAACAUGGAAUGCCUAGUAACCGCCAGUCAUCAUCUGGCGGUGAAUACGUCCCUGCUCCUUGCACACACUGCCCGUCGAACCACCCAAAUGAGGUUUGGGUGAGGAAUGGUCGAAUGUUGGCCGUUUCGAACCUGGGCCUCGUAAGGAGGGUUAAGUCGUAACAAGGUG